CUUACAGACCAGGGGAAGGAGUUUGUAAAUCAGAUCAACACUGAUGUCUGCAAGAUCCUUGGGAUAAAAAGAAGCCUUUGUGCGCCAUAUCAUCCUCAAACCAAUGGUCUUGUUGAGAAAAUGAAUGGUACCAUACAAAGGCUGCUCGACACACCACUGCCACAAGCCACAUCAAAAACCAAAAGACCACAAAAUCAAAUUUCAAGGUGGGUGACAAAGUGUGGCGGUUGAAUGUGAGAAGCCAGCAGCGAAAGGGAGGAAAGUUGGAGCCUGACUUCUUGGGACCUUUCAAAGUCAUAGCUCUACAGGACAAGAGUGCUGAUCUGGAAAGUGAGGGAGGUCGUGUUUUUCCUAAAAUCAAAACCGACCACCUGAAAAUACACACCGACAAAAAGGAAAGAAUACCACAUAAGAUCCUCAACUCCACAGGGGUAACCUCAAGCUCUGCCUCGAUCCCUGCCUCCACUCCCACCCCUGCUUCAUCCUCCACCUCUGCCUCCACAACCAUCCCUA